AAAAAUGAAUACUGUAAAAAUGACUAAUUGAUACAACCACUAUGGAAAACAGUAUGGAGGUACCCUAGAAAACUCAUACAUAGAACUACCAUAUGAUAGCAUGGGUGCAAGUGUCUUUUUCAAGGAAAGAUUUGUCCGGAUAUAUGCCACUAUUGGCCACUAUUGGGCAUAUAUCCAGACAAAACUUUCCUUGAAAAAGACAUUUGCACCUGCAUGUUCAUUACAGCUCUAUUCACAAUAGCCAAGAUAUGGAAACAACACAAAUGUCCAUCAACAGAUGAUUGGUAAUCUGCUAAACUAUUCAUGUACUCAGGCAUUUAUGACCCUUUCUUAGUAAGGGAACAAAUUUUCUCAAACUUUUGAUUUUUUCUUCUUUCAAGAUCAGAUUUUAAAAUGGGGGGGAUUCGAGGUGUCUUUUAUACCUAAACUAUCUUUGGGUUUAUCUCCUGGAAAAUCACAAAUGUUUGUUGUUGUUUUUUUUAACUUAUGUGUUAGCUUCCUAUUGCCACUAUAACAAAUCACAGCAAAUGUACUGGCUUAAAACAACACAAAUAUAUUCCCUCACAGUUCUGAAAGUCAGAAGUCAAAAACAAGAUUCAUUAAGCUAAAAUCAGGAUGUUGGCACAGGUGGUUCCUUCUGGAGGUUCUGAGGGGAGAAUAUGCUUUCUUGCCUUGAAAAGCUUUUGGGGUCCACUCGUUUUCCUUGGUUUAUGGACCCUUUCUCCAUCUUCAAAGCAUAUUACCCCAGUCUCUGCCUCCAUUAUCACAUCACAUAUCUUCUCUUUCAUAUAAUCCUUAUAAUUAUAUUGGUCUUGGAUAAUUCAGAAUAAUUUUCCAUCUCAAAAUCCUAAUUUAAUUACGUCUGCCCAACAUUAUAAAUUAACUAUCCUUUAAUUAAAAAUAAAUAAAUAAUUACAGGUACAACCAUUAAGGAAACUGUAUGGAGGUACCUCAGAAAAUUAAACAUAAAACUACCAUAUGAUCCAGCAAUCCCACUCUUGGGCAUAUAUCCGGAUAAAACUUCCAUACAAAAAGAUAAAUGCACCCCUAUGUUCAUUGCAGCAUUAUUUACAAUAGUCAAGACAUGGAAACAACCUAAAUGUCCAUUGACAGAUGAAUGGAUUAAGAAGAUGUGGUACAUAUACACAAUGGAAUACUACUUGGCCAUAAAAAAGAACAAAAUAAUACCAUUUGCAGCAACACGGAUGGAACUAGAGAUUCUCAUACUAAGUGAAGAAAGUCCAAAGGAGAAAGACAAAUACCAUACAUUAUCACUGAUAUCUGGAAUCUAACGUAUGGCACAAAUGAACCUUUCCACAGAAAAGAAACAAACUCAUGGACGUGGAGAAAAGAUGUGUGGUUGCCAAGAGGGAGGAGGAGGGACUUGGAGGGACUGGGAGUUUGGGGUUAAUAAAUGCAAACUAUUACAUUUGGAAUGGAUAAGCAAUGAGCUUCUGCUAUAUAUCCCAGGAAAAUAUAUCUGAUCACUUGAGAUGGAAAAUGAUGGAGGAUAAUGUGAAAAAAAAAAUGUAUAUAUAACUGGGUCACUUUACUGUACAGCAUAAAUUGACAGAACAUUGUAAAUAAAGUAUAAUAAAAAAAUUUUUUAAAUAAUAAGACUUUGUCUUUCAAGGUAAAAUAUUAUAGAUACUAGGGAUUAGGACAUGAAGAUUUUUGGGAGCCCAUUAUCCAGCCUUACCACACCUCAUAAAAAGGAAUACCAGAAAUAAUUAGGUUUGCUGGUAAACUCUAUAUUUUUCAUGUAACUCCACAUCACUGUCAAAAACUGCAGGGAAAAGUUGUUAAAAGACGCUCAGCUUUCCUUCAGUUAAUUUUGAACAAGCAAAAUAUUACUAAUAUAUAUGUCUUCUGGAUUGCACACUUUUAUGAGGUAGGUUGAAAGACUUUGAAUUUGUCCAUACCUUUGCGAUCCAUGGAAUGUUCUCAGACCCAGAGGAAACAUUGGUUAAAUUCUUACGGAAGAUAUUUAUCAUAGACCAACAGAGGAUUUUACUUUUUCUGUUUACUGGUUACCGAAAUAAAUUAGUUGUACUUAUUCAGUCUUAUCAUCAACAGAUAGUUUCUGCUUCUCUUUCUUCUUUGUCUGAAAACUUAGGACCCAAGACAGAAAUGAAUUCUGACAAAAACAAUCUUGGAGCCUUGUGGGAAGGACUGUAUCAGGAACUCUUCACGACUGACCUUUCAAGACAUAUACUUAUGAUAACAGGCUCUAGAGCUUAACUCAACAUUACCUAGUCAACCAUGAAUCUGCACUAGAGAACUAAAUGAAGGUAUCCAAGAUGCUUCUGAGUCUGGAAGUAGAUGACUUUUAAUAAAAUCUUUCUGCUGAUUCAAGAAAGAUCCAGUAAAACAAGACCUAAGUAAAAGUAGAUUGUACUGAACUAAUAAGGAAAAAUAAAUGGGGCAUUUUGGGAGGAUAUCUUUAUAAUUAUUAUUAUUUUGCUUUUUAGGGCCACACCCGUUCCCAGGUUCCCAGG
rnacentral:lncRNA from 1 species